rnacentral:misc_RNA from 1 species
UUUCAGCAUAGAGUUUCUUAUUAGUAUUCCUUAUUUCUUCUUCUGCUUUUAUUUUUUAAUGGUUUCACUUUCAAGGUUUUGCUAAGAAAUUUCAGAGUGGCUGGUUAAUUAUUUAGCAUUUCUGGAAUUUGCUUAGCUUGAUGCUGACCAGAAAAUAAUCUUAGACGUUGUAACUUCAUUUUGAAAAAAAAAAGUGUUCUUUUUUAACCAGUACUGGCUAUUACAAAUGUGACAGCAUGAGCUUAAGAGCCUCUUAUUUAUAAAUAAUGAAUAAGUACAAGCUUGGAUAUUAUAAUUUAAUUUUCCUUGAUUCUCUAGGUUGGUAUUUCAUCAGGAG